CAAGGCGAUGUCAGGGGUGCGCAUGUGGCGCGUUUCCCUUGCAAAGAAAAAUAAAAUCAAAUCGAUACACACUGCAGCAAGCAACAGUGCUUCCAUCUCCUCCUCCUCCUCCUUCUUCGUCGGGGCCGAAACACGCCACCCUCCCGGACACCCGAGUCCCCAUUACAGUCCUCCUGCCUCGAUGUUUCGCUGCCCGAAGAGUUUUUGCUUAGUUAGCGCGCACUCCUUCCCAACCUUCCGCUAAAAAGUGCUCAAACCCCACCGAUCCUCCCCGUCCCCUCCCAAGCACCCCAAAUGUGAGGGGAAGGGGCGGUGGGGGAGGGAGGGAGCGAGAGCAAGGGGAGCGCUAAAGGGGGUUGGGUGGGUUCCCCCCCCCACAAAGCACUGCGUCUCCCCCCGACUUUCCUGGGGUGAGAGGAAGAGACGGGAGCCAGCUCCCCCUUUUCCUUCAGCAGCGCUCGCCCAGAAAAGUUUGGGGAGCGGGGCGAUGCGGCCUCCCCCUUUUCGGAGCCGCCGGGACCCGCCUCAGCCCAGGUAAUAAGUUUGCAAGUUCGGGGCUGCGGAGGUAGCCGAGAAGAGAAGCAGCGGCCUCGGCCGUCCCUCGUGGGAGAUCGAAGCUACCCAGCCACCCCUUCAGUUCUCCCACCGGAGAGGGAAAACGGGGCGAGCGGAGCCGGCGGCCGCCGGCGAAGCAGGAGAAGGGGAGACAAGGUGGCUGCGGACGGCGAGUAACGGUCCCCGGGCAAGAGAGAGGCAUCCGGGCAGCAGCAGCCGGCUGAAUCGAAAAGUGCUCGGCCGCCGGAACCUUGUUGCCAGGGGAGACGCCAGCUUUACGGCAGCGCGUUUGAACCGGCAGGAGGGAAAAGUUUUUCUCAGCUCGCCAGUAGGCAGUGAGAGUCUUUGGGCUUAAGAAAAGAAAAUGGAGAACGUUUUCGGAGAUUACAAAAAUCUUGGAAUAAAAAAAAAAGCUGGCACACUUCUGUCUAGGACAUCUAUUAUUAGAGAUUUCCCAAACACAAUGUAUACCUUUCCUUGGCUUUAUAGACCUACAGAGAUUGUACAGUACAUGCGAGGACUGAUUACAAAGUUACUUUUUCAUCACCAUCAUAAGUGUGAAGAAUCACUAAAGGAAAACUACAGGAACCUGCUCAGGCUUCCCAGAUGACAACUGUCAACACAUUCUCUGGUCCUGAAAUUUUAGAUGAUGAACAGAAUCCAGGUAUGCAUCUAUGGAUGAGUCUCAGUAACACGUGCCAAGUUGACUGUCUCAUCCAUAAUAAGAUCAUGGAUCUUUGUCUUGCUACAAAGCAACAUGUCAUUUGACAACACCAGCUGGAGAUAAAGGCCACUGAGGAUCUGCUGACUUUGCAGCAGGGAUGAGACUGGGAACGAGAAAGUAGAAUUGGUAUCAAAUACUUCAUGCUGUGUGUGGUCUGCUCCCAGAUUCCUACCACUUUUCCCUAUUCUAAAAAUACAAGUGCCAAAAAUAUCUUGAAGAACAUUUUAAAUUGUAUAUAUACAAUGUGAUCCAUACAUACCUACUAAGUUAUCCCCAUUUAGUUCAGUGAAAAGUAAUCUGUGGGAGUCCAUGGAGGAUUGCAACUAGGGAAAUAGCAGAGCAAGUAUAAAGAUCCAGCCCCCCCCCCCCUUGCAGGGUUUUCUUCUUCUUUCCCUUCUAUUUUAAUUGAAUGAGAGAGGAAAUGAUCUGGUUCAUGAUGUUAAACCACAGUUGAUGAUGACCAGUCUAAACCAAACAAAUCCCGUACAGCGUAGUACCGGGUGUGAACUUGGUAAUAAACAAUUUGAGUUUCAGGCUGACUUAAAUCAGAAAGACCAUCCGGAAGGUUAUAGGAGAAAUAGAAUGGUUUUGAAUCUAGGAUUGUUCCAGCCAUCCUCUUUACCCUCACUGUACCCUGUUUCAGCAUUUACUUAUGGCAAGAACACUAUCAUGUUGCUUCUGUGUCUGUAGAAUUUAUGUUGGAAUCCUGGAGCCGUGGGAAUGCAGAUUGUUCAGCUCUGAAAUAAGGGUUUGCCUAUAAAAAAAUCAUGCCAGAAGAAAAUAAUGAGUCUUUAAUGUAUCAUAGUUUAGGAAUGAAAAUAAUGUUUCCCUUCCAGCCUUCUUGGUUUUAUUUUUCCACAGUGCAAAAGAGCAUCUGAUGUCCCAUACCUCAGAGUAAGCCUUCUCAUGGAUUAAAACGGUAUAUUAUAAUAAAUACCUCAAUACUUCUGACACAAAUUAUUUUCCAAAUAGGUUUCCUGAUGCAUAACAAAUGUUUUUGUUUUUUUGUUUGCUAUGAUUGCUAUUUCCUUAUUAUUAAACAUUAAUUUGUUGAGAAUGGCUGUUUUCUUCCAUAUGGCGUAUUUUAUUGCCUUCGGUAGUAUAUGUGCUGUUUUAAGUUUGCUCUUAUACACUUUAUGCUUUUUCUGAAUAUUUUGUUCUUGUUCAUUUUGUGUUCAUUUGGAGAUUUUUCUCUUAGUAACAGUCUCUAUACAGCUGGCUCACUCCGUUCUGUAACCCUUUAACAAGAUUUCUCUAAUUAUUUUAGCAAACAGGAUUCUUUUUCAUGUUUAUAGUUUUAUUGUAACCACAUGUCACUGAAGAUGUCAUUCAUCUGUUCUAGUCAAUUUGUCUCUUCUGUUUUACAUUGCAAAAGUAUUUUGGAUUUUCAGAGCAUCAAAUGUACUUUUAGGAAGUACUUCUUAGAAGAUAGCAAUCCACUUUCAUACAGAAAUGGAAUGGAAUGGAAUGGAACAGAACAGAACAGAAUAGAGCAGAACAGAACUUUCAAUAUUUUUUUUUUUGAGCCAUCAGUUUUGAACUGUAUAGCAGUGUAGCUCUAAAGACUGUGAUUAAGUGCAAACCCUUGCUUAUAUAGAUUCCUCUGUACCAUCUCAUUCCCAUUCCCACUGUCAUCCUAUAUAAACAUGGGUGGUAUAUCUUUAACCAAUACAGUAAAAUAAUCAUUUUUUUCAAGUAGCAAGAACAAUGAAAAGAAUGGCGAAAUGUGUACAUCAUGCAUCCUUUGGCUUAUUUGACUUUGGGUUACUGUAUUGUGGUACUGUACUGUAUUGUGGUACCCUAGCCACUAAGGUUUACAAAUCAUGAGUUUUGAUCGUAUGGUUUAUUCAGUAGAUCAUGGUUAACUGUGGUAUGGCAUAUUGUGAGAGCUCAGUUAAAUUAAAAACUCUUCUCAUUACUAUUAUUCAUUCCUUGUUUAUGACUAUUAAAUUGAAUUGCCUAGGAAAAGUUCCAAGGAUAGAAAUUACUAGAUGCCCAAUUCAGGAAAUUGGCUUGAAAAUGCUCACUUCUGAAGUAAUAUUGCAUGCUUUUUAAAGAGUCCAUGUAUAUUAUUACUUCUUUGUAUUUUUUUAAAUAUAAAUGUUUUAUCUCCAAGGUCUGAAUGCAACAAUAAAAUUGAGAAACUUAUCUGAAUCAGUGGGUGAAAUGUUAGUAAUAUACAGGUAAUCCUUGAUUUACAAUCAUUCGUUUAGCGACUGUUCAAAAUAACAAUGGCCUAAAUUCUUUCACUUUCAACUGUUUUAAAUGCCAGUUGCCAGGAGUUGAAAUUUUGAUCAUAUGACACCUCCCCCCACAGUCACAUGAUCAAAAUUCAGGCACUUAGCCAAUGGCAUAUAUUUACAAAGAUUGCAGCAUCCCAGGGUCAUAUAAUCUUGAUUUCUGCUUCUGAGAGGAAAGUCAAUGGGGAAGCUAUAUUUGCUUAAUCAUGUGAUUCACUUAAUAACCAUGGCAAAAGUCAUAUGAUCAGAUACCAUUAAUUUAACAACUACCUUACUUAGCAAUUGAAAUUCUGAUCCCAAUUGUCAUCAGUCAAGGACUACCUAUAGAACAGCUUUUAAUUGAUAACCUUUUUUUUUCUUUUUACUUUGUCAUCCUGUGACAACAGGGUAUUCAAUUACUGCUGGGGAAAUCUAACAGUAAUUUACUACUAUUUCAUUCAGCAUUUUCAAACGAAACAAUUCAAUAUUUCUGAAAUGAGGAACAACUGUUUCACUUUCUUAGAAAGAAACUGUUCAUUUUGUUUUAUUUAUCAAACAGAUUUCUAAUCUGUCUUUUUGCCACAACUGGGAUCAAAAGAAGCAUGUUCCUUUGGUCAAGACUAUGAGAAGAAUCACUUGUUUUUUCUCAGCUAACAAAGCAAUCAGAUCAGAACAUCAGCAGCUAAUUCACCUCUGAAGUGACUAGAUGACUAGAAUAAAAAACGAAUUGCUACUUUGUAAGGUAGGCUACUGUAUGUAAUCCUAUAUAUGUUUACAUAUUAAAAGUUCAGUUGGGUUUACUUCCAUGUAAAUAUGCACAGGAUGGGAACUGACUUUUCAUCUUCUCAUUAGGUUCAAGUUAAGGAUUUUUGAAAUAAAUAUUGCUAAAGCCUUCAAGCAUUUGGUUCCAUCUUGCACCAGAUUCCGUUGCAGUGGCAAAACUAUUGACUGAAGUGAAUUACUGAAAGCUUGUUCUGUGUUCAAACACUGUAAAUUAAUUAUAUAUUGUUCUUUUAAAGGCAGCCUAGCUUACAGGCUUCCUCACCCUCUUUAAACUUGGAGAAGCUUUGUGUGGGCAUAUUUUAGGAAUCUUGUCUAAGGGCCAUGUUCUAUUUAUCAGGUAUAGGCUGUCUGAAUCCCUCUGAAUGCUUUAGAUCCGUGAUGGCGAACCUAUGGCACACCUAUGCCACAUUUGGAACCAUAUCUGUAGGCACAUGAGCCAUUGUCCUAGCUCAGCUCCAGCACACAUGUGCACGCCAGCCAGCUGAUUUUCAGCUGGCCCAGACCAUGCCAGCCCUCCCCUCCCAGGAAUCUCCACGCGGCCUGUUUUGGAUGCCAGGUAAGCACCGGGCUCUCGCGGAAGGAGUGAGUUUUUGGCCUCUAGAGGGCCUUGGGGGAGGUGGGGAAAGGCCAUUUUCGCCCUCCUCAUGCUCCAGGAAAGCUUCUGGAGCCUGGGGAGGGUGAAGACAGGCCUACCGGAAGUCUGGAAAUGGGCCGUUUCCGGCCUCUGGAGGUUUCAGGGAGGCCUGCGAGGCCCAAAAUGGGUCAUGUGCAUAUGUGCAAGGGAGCGUGGGGAGGGUCACGCAUGCAUGCGUGGGGGGGGGCCUGGAGGAGGCAUUGAGUUAUUGGUGUGGGCACACACACGCACAACCCCCCCCCCGCUCUCCACGCUUUUGGCAUGUGAUGGCAAAAAGGUUAGCCAUCACUGCUUUAGAUGAUAAUCUCUAUAAGAUCUAAUUAAUGUGGGCAGGGAUGCACACGUCUGCUGUGGGGCUACCAAAUUUGAGCUUCAAUUUUCUCCAUCUUUUUCCUGCCAUCUAGGAGAGGUUUUUAAUUUAAUUUUUAUAUAUGAAUAUCUGUAGGAAGGGUUAUAUUACAUUAUGGUGAUAUUUCAUUUGAUUGAGAUCUGAAAUGGGUUAAGACUAUUUAAAUGAUGAGCAAGCUUACUUGGGAUACUACACUGAGUUUCAGUUUAGUAAGAUAGAUUAUUCAUCUAGCAUGAAUAUAAAGAAAAAACCCAACACUCAGACGAAUUGCUGUUUCUCAAAAAAGAAUAAUCUGGUUGUUUGUUUUUCUUCCAACAGUUGGAGAAUUAGAAAAUAUUGAGCAAAAUAUCUUUUCUUUUCUCCCCAAUUUUCACAAAGUCUGAAAAUUCACACAUAGACUAAAUUUUGUUCUAAUUUUUCAAAUUAAUGUGUUGCUUCUCAAUAGUAUGUGUACAUGUCUCUCUCUGUUAUAAUGAAUCCUCCAUGGUAGACAUACCAUGAAGAAGCCGUGAAAAUAUUUACAGAUCCCUCACAUCCUGGACAUAAAAUGUUUCAACUCCUACCAUCAAAAUGACGCUACAGAGCAUUGCACACCAGAACAACUAGACACAAGAACAGUUUUUUCCCGAAGGCCAUCACUCUGCUAAACAAAUAAUUCCCUCAACACUGUCAAACUAUUUACUAAAUCUGCACUACUAUUAAUCUUCUCAUCGUUUUCAUCACCAAUCUCUUUCCACUUAUGACUGUAUGACUGUAACUUUUUGUUGCUAUCAUUAAGGUUUAAAUUGCAACCUCUGACCAUCAUUUGUGUUGUAAAUAUUGUACCUUUGAUGUAUUUUUUUCUUUUUUCUUUUUAUUUUAUGUACAUUGACAAAUGUACCAAAACAAAUUCCUUGUGUGUCCAAUCACACUUG